rnacentral:rRNA from 1 species
CAAUUAUACAGCGAAACUGCGAAUGGCUCAUUAUAUAAGUUAUCGUUUAUUUGAUAGUACCUUACUACUUGGAUAACCGUGGUAAUUCUAGAGCUAAUACAUGCUAAAAAUCCCGACUUCGGAAGGGAUGUAUUUAUUAGAUUAAAAACCAAUGCCCCUCGGGCUCUCUGGUGAUUCAUGAUAACUUCUCGAAUCGCACGGCCUUGCGCCGGCGAUGGUUCAUUCAAAUUUCUUCCCUAUCAACUUUCGAUGUUUGGGUAGUGGCCAAACAUGGUUGCAACGGGUAACGGAGGGUUAGGGCUCGACCCCGGAGAAGGAGCCUGAGAAACGGCUACUACAUCCAAGGAAGGCAGCAGGCGCGCAAAUUACCCAAUCCCGAUCCGGGGAGGUAGUGACAAUAAAUACUGAUACAGGGCUCUUUCGGGUCUUGUAAUUGGAAUGAGUACAAUUUAAAUCCCUUAACGAGGAACAAUUGGAGGGCAAGUCUGGUGCCAGCAGCCGCGGUAAUUCCAGCUCCAAUAGCGUAUAUUAAAGUUGUUGUGGUUAAAAAGCUCGUAGUUGAACCUUGGGCCUGGCUGGCCGGUCCGCCUCACCGCGUGUCACUGGUCCGGCCGGGUCUUUCCCUCUGUGGAACCACAUGCCCUUCACUGGGCGUGGCGGGGAAACAGGACUUUUACUUUGAAAAAAUUAGAGUGCUCCAGGCAGGCCUAUGCUCGAAUACAUUAGCAUGGAAUAAUGAAAUAGGACGUGCGGUUCUAUUUUGUUGGUUUCUAGGACCGCCGUAAUGAUUAAUAGGGACAGUCGGGGGCAUCAGUAUUCAAUUGUCAGAGGUGAAAUUCUUGGAUUUAUUGAAGACUAACUACUGCGAAAGCAUUUGCCAAGGAUGUUUUCAUUAAUCAGGAACGAAAGUUAGGGGAUCGAAGACGAUCAGAUACCGUCGUAGUCUUAACCAUAAACUAUGCCGACUAGGGAUCGGACGAUGUUAUUU